rnacentral:lncRNA from 1 species
CCGGCCCGUCUCCCUCCCCUUUCCCGAGCUGUCCACACCCACGCGUACAGAGGGCCGGGGCCUCCCUCGAGCUGCGGCCUCGGCCUCCUCCCCGCGCGGCAGCUGGUGCCUCCCCGGCCCUACGGGGCUCACGCGCACGGCACAGCCACAAGAUGUCCGCUCUGACGGAACUACUGCCAGCUGCCACGCUCCGCCCCUCCCCCCGCCUAUUCACCGCCGCGUAUCCGUCCGCCAACGCCGCCGUCGCGAGCGCGGGGCGAGCCGAGGGGUUCAGGGGGGAGCGGUUUGCUUCCCUCGCUCGGGCCGAGUGGACGUGCCGCCCGCUUGCCGUCUCCCUGUCGGAACAGCACCUUCUCGCUAAAGCGAUCGGAGGUCGGGCCGGGAGGGCGGGGGACGGAGGCGGGUCAUGGGCUGAGGGGGAGGGUAGGCGAGUGGCGGAAACCCUUAAAUUCAGAGAAGCAUCGAGAACCGGAAGGAGACCUUAGGAGGAAGAAACUGGGCACAGAUUGCUAUUACACCAAGGGGACAGAGCUAUUAAGUGGGAGAAGUGGAAUUUGAAUAAGCCAGGGUGCACAGAUUAGUGAGGAACCUAACUGGAACCUACCAACUAGAAACUCAACAUACAGGGAGGACAAUGAAGUAACCUUCAAAGAAACCAGUUCCUGUUGCCCUAAUCUAACAAGUUUCAACAAAGAAGUACACUAAAACUUUACUGCUAUGCAAUAAAGCACAGCAAACUGGGAAAAAUUGUGAGAACCAGGUUCAGUACCCAGCAUCUUCAUGGUGGUUCACAAUCAUCAGUAACUCCAGUUCCAGUGGAUCUGAUGCCUUCUGGCCUCCGUGGGCAACAGAUGGACACCAAUACUUCUGGAUUUCUGACCUUUGGAUUCACUAGGAAGCUUUUAUUGCAGUCUCUUCACCCCCCCCCCCCACCCCCCAGGCCUUCAGACUACAGCUGAAUUCUGCCACUUGCUCAUCAUUUAAGCAGCAUAUUUUCGGACUUUGUGAUCUCCAAGAUAGUGUCAGAGCCAUUUCCACUGUUUCUUUAGGAAACUCUAAUUACUGUGUUC